UUACCUGGCCUUGACAUACUAAGAACUUUCCAGAGAUGGAUUGGUGCCUUCGGGAACUUAGAUACAGGUGCUGCAUGGCUGUCGUCAGCUCGUGUCGUGAGAUGUUGGGUUAAGUCCCGCAACGAGCGCAACCCUUUUCCUUAUUGCCAGCGGGUUAAGCCGGGAACUUUAAGGAUACUGCCAGUGACAAACUGGAGGAAGGCGGGGACGACGUCAAGUCAUCAUGGCCCUUACGGCCAGGGCUACACACGUGCUACAAUGGUCGGUACAAAGGGUUGCUACCUCGCGAGAGGAUGCUAAUCUCAAAAAGCCGAUCGUAGUCCGGAUCGCAGUCUGCAACUCGACUGCGUGAAGUCGGAAUCGCUAGUAAUCGCGGAUCAGAAUGCCGCGGUGAAUACGUUCCCGGGCCUUGUACACACCGCCCGUCACACCAUGGGAGUUUGUUGCACCAGAAGUAGGUAGUCUAACCGCAAGUAGGACGCUUACCACGGUGUGGCCGAUGACUGGGGUGAAGUCGUAACAAGGUAAGCGUAGAUGA
rnacentral:rRNA from 1 species